AUGAGAAAGAAUAACAACCAGUUAUUCGAUUUGGAAUAACCAACAUAUGACAGACUUCCAAAAAAUAUGUGAUAAGUGACUGAAAUAAAUCAUGGUUCCCUCACUUUCUUCCACUCUAUCAUCAGGUUCCUGUCUAUCCACCAUUAUCUGCAUCUUUUUGCUGCUUCUACUGCUAAAUAAUCAUCUCAAAGGAAGCUUUUUGUCCUGCCACUUUCUGCUUCAUUGUUCUCCGACCACAAAGACCAAGACCAAAGCAAUUUAUCACCAUCAUACCAUAGAUUGCUUUAAUAAACACUGGGUCAAUGGGCAUACUUGCUCACAGGUGAAAGAUUGUCAGACUCAACUGAUUGAUAAAUUGAAACAAUUGUUUUAAAAUGUCCCUCUGUAGGCUUCAGAGAAUGUAACUGGUUCAGAGGAAACAACUCAUGGUGGAAGAACAAGUCUCACAACCUAAAAUAAGAUUAUAAAGCUUUAGAGCUGUAGUCUGGUGUGCAUUUCAGAAAUUAUCCUAUCCAGCUCCUUAUGGAUCAAACAGCUGAAGCCUGAGAGGACAACAUGGUGACCAUGUGACCUUGGGCAAUUUAUCUAUUUUCCCUUUGCCUUAUUUUUCUUAUCUAUUACAUUGAUCUUUGCAGUAUCCACACCUCAGAGGGUUAUUGUAAGAAUAAAAGAGAUAAGGAAGUAAAGAAUUUAUCA
rnacentral:lncRNA from 12 species